CUUGUUAAGUUGAAGUUACAAAUGGUGUUGUCUGACUAACAAAUAUAGAUGGUGUUGGCUGACUAGCAUAUGUAGAUGGUGUUGGUUGACUAGCAGAUGCAAAUGGUCUUGGUUGACUAAUAAAUGGGUGUGGAUGACUAGCAGGUGCGUAUUGUGUCCAAAUAACAUUUUUUCACUAAUAACUAUAUUGAAAUCAGUAGC
rnacentral:lncRNA from 1 species